rnacentral:rRNA from 1 species
CGUGUAGGCGGUCUCCUCAGUCCGAUGUGAAAGCCCGAGGCUCACCCUCGGAAGUGCAUCGGAUACUGGGAGACUUGAGUACCGGAGAGGAGGGUGGAAUUCCUGGUGUAGCGGUGAAAUGCGUAGAUAUCAGGAGGAACACCGGUGGCGAAGGCGGCCCUCUGGACGGAUACUGACGCUGAGACGCGAAAGCGUGGGGAGCAAACAGGAUUAGAUACCCUGGUAGUCCACGCUGUAAACGAUGGGUACUAGGUGUUCGGGGUAUUGACCCCCUGAGUGCCGCAGCUAACGCAUUAAGUACCCCGCCUGGGGACUACGGCCGCAAGGUUAAA